rnacentral:sRNA from 1 species
CCAGCUCUGGAGCCAUAAGCCCUUUGUUAAUCCCCAGAGCUGUCUGGGCAGGGGCAGCUUCCUCCAUAAUGUGGCUCAGUUCUGACCAGGAGUGACCAUCUGUAGUGGUGAGACUGGAGCUCUAUCUCUGUGGUCCAUAUAAUCCUUGGCCUUU